GCAAAAGCUCAAAUUUGAAACCUUCGGGAUUGUAAUUUGAAGAUUUGGCAUUGGAGAAAGCUAACCCAAGUUACUUGGAAUAGUACGUCAUAGAGGGUGACAACCCCGUCUGGCUAACCGUUCUCCAUGUAUUGCCUUAUCAAAGAGUCGAGUUGUUUGGGAAUGCAGCUCAAAGUGGGUGGUAAACUCCAUCUAAAGCUAAAUACUGGUGAGAGACCGAUAGCGAACAAGUACUGUGAAGGAAAGGUGAAAAGAACUUUGAAAAGAGAGUGAAAUAGUAUGUGAAAUUGUUGAUAGGGAAGGAAAUGAGUGGAGAGUGGUUGAGGUUUCAGCUUACCUUUGGGUAGGUGUAUUGCCAACGCCGAGUCAUCGACAGCGAGACGGCGGUU
rnacentral:rRNA from 2 species